CCAGACUCCUACGGGAGGCAGCAGUGGGGAAUAUUGCACAAUGGGGGAAACCCUGAUGCAGCGACGCCGCGUGAGCGAUGAAGUAUUUCGGUAUGUAAAGCUCUAUCAGCAGGGAAGAAAAUGACGGUACCUGACUAAGAAGCCCCGGCUAACUACGUGCCAGCAGCCGCGGUAAUACGUAGGGGGCAAGCGUUAUCCGGAUUUACUGGGUGUAAAGGGAGCGUAGACGGCGGUGCAAGCCAGAUGUGAAAGCCCGGGGCUCAACCCCGGGACUGCAUUUGGAACUGUGCUGCUAGAGUGUCGGAAAGGCAGGCGGAAUUCCUAGUGUAGCGGUGAAAUGCGUAGAUAUUAGGAGGAACACCAGUGGCGAAGGCGGCCUGCUGGACAGUAACUGACGCUGAGGCGCGAAAGCGUGGGGAGCAAACAGGAUUAGAUACCCUUGUAA
rnacentral:rRNA from 1 species